rnacentral:misc_RNA from 1 species
GAAAUGCGAUAAGUAAUGUGAAUUGCAGAAUUCAGUGAAUCAUCGAAUCUUUGAACGCACAUUGCGCCCCUUGGUAUUCCGGGGGGCAUACCUGUUCGAGCGUCAUUACAACCCUCAAGCUCUGCUUGGAAUUGGGCACCGUCCUCACUGCGGACGCGCCUCAAAGACCUCGGCGGUGGCUGUUCAGCCCUCAAGCGUAGUAGAAUACACCUCGCUUUGGAGCGGUUGGCGUCGCCCGCCGGACGAACCUUCUGAACUUUUCUCAAGGUUGACCUCGGAUCAGGUAGGGAUACCCGCUGAACUUAAGC